AUCGGGCCAGAGAUUCGAGGAUCCCUUGGAUGGUACUUGUUGGUGAGCGUGAACUUAGCGAAGGAGUUGUAAAAUUGAAGGAUGUUGUUGCAGCUAUUGACUAUGAAGUCCCCAGAGGUAACUUUGUGAACGACUUAUGCAGACGAUUAGACAUGUAAUAUCUCAAGUUAUUAAUAUUGUUAGAUUGAUACAAGAAUGCUUUUUUGGUGGGUGGGGGUUAAAAUCCUCCAUUUUGGUGGGGGUUAGCACUUGUGAACGACUUAUGCAGACGCUUAGACAUGUAAUAUCUCAAGUUAUUAAUAUUGCUAGAUUGAUACAAGAAUGCUUUUUUUAGGGGGGGUGGGGGUGGUGUGGGGGUUAAAAUCCUCCAUUUUGGUGGGGGUUAGCACUGACCUCUACCUGUCCAUUGAUCCACACAAGUUACAUUUUGAGAACCCAUUACGUGUGAAACAAACUAAACUUAGAUUCUGUAAGUGCAUUUUACAUUGAUGGGAGGAAUCCUUCCUUUAACACUUAGUCUAACUUUAAAAUGGAUUCUAUGCUGUAAUUUUAAAAUGCAAUAUAUGCAAUGCAAGUGAUACAUCUCUACUUGUUCAUCAUACGUUUGGCGUUCAUUUUCUUUCUAUAUAUAGGAUAUUAAUACAUUUCAAAAAGAUUUCCUUAAUCAUGUUUGCCUUUUCUUUCCUUGAAGGGCUAAUUGACUUUCAAACUAUCCUAACCGAUUCAGAUCUUUUGCAACAAAAUUUGUUUGUUUGUCUUUAUCAGUUUCUUUCUUUCUUUCUUUAUAGGACAUAAACUCCACAGUUCAGGUAACAAUAUGUGCAGUAACCUUCGUACUCUUGUUGAGUGUUAAGGAGAUCCAAAUUCUAUUCACAAAUUUCGGAAACAAUACGUCUAAUCCUAUUAAUAUUGGACACAAAAUUGACAGCCAAGGCAAGCAAAAUUAUAGAUCUUAAAUGAGGAGAUUCUAUCAUUUUGAAACUCAAGAAUACACACGAAAUAGCAGCCAACUACCUUGACGACUCGGCACAUAUAAACUAUUCUUUCCCUAGCGAAGGAUGAUAAAUUACAGUAUCUACAGCACCAAUUUUUCAUAGAGCCGCAA
rnacentral:lncRNA from 1 species